AUUGAACGCUGGCGGCAGGCCUAACACAUGCAAGUCGAGCGAGCGGCGGACGGGUGAGUAAUGUCUGGGAAACUGCCUGAUGGAGGGGGCUAACUACUGGAAACGGUAGCUAAUACCGCAUACCAUCAGAUGUGCCCAGAGGGGAUUAGCUAGUUGGUGGGGUAAAGGCCUACCAAGGCGACGAUCUGUAGCGGGUCUGAGAGGAUGAUCCGCGACAGGGGGACUGAGAGACGGCACAGACUUCUUCGGGAGGCAGCAGUGGGGAAUAUUGGACAAUGGGGGGAACCCUGAUCCAGCCAUGCCGCGUGUGUGAAGAAGGCCGUAUGGUUGUAAAGCACGUUAAGCGAGGAGGCGUGACUCGCAGAAUAAGCACCGGCUAACUCUGUGCCAGCAGCCGCGGUAAUGC
rnacentral:rRNA from 1 species